UUGCCAAGUGCCUGAGACAAGAGUUCC
rnacentral:piRNA from 1 species